ACGACUACACUCCUACGGGAGGCAGCAGUGGGGAAUAUUGGACAAUGGGCGAAAGCCUGAUCCAGCCAUGCCGCGUGUGUGAAGAAGGUCUUCGGAUUGUAAAGCACUUUAAGUUGGGAGGAAGGGCAGUUGCCUAAUACGUAACUGUUUUGACGUUACCGACAGAAUAAGCACCGGCUAACUCUGUGCCAGCAGCCGCGGUAAUACAGAGGGUGCAAGCGUUAAUCGGAAUUACUGGGCGUAAAGCGCGCGUAGGUGGUUUGUUAAGUUGGAUGUGAAAUCCCCGGGCUCAACCUGGGAACUGCAUUCAAAACUGACUGACUAGAGUAUGGUAGAGGGUGGUGGAAUUUCCUGUGUAGCGGUGAAAUGCGUAGAUAUAGGAAGGAACACCAGUGGCGAAGGCGACCACCUGGACUGAUACUGACACUGAGGUGCGAAAGCGUGGGGAGCAAACAGGAUUAGAUACCCGAGUAGUCCACCAAUCC
rnacentral:rRNA from 1 species